rnacentral:rRNA from 1 species
UACGUAGGGUGCAAGCGUUGUCCGGAAUUAUUGGGCGUAAAGAGCUCGUAGGCGGUUUGUCGCGUCUGCUGUGAAAACUCGGGGCUUAACUCCGGGCCUGCAGUGGGUACGGGCAGACUAGAGUGCGGUAGGGGAGACUGGAAUUCCUGGUGUAGCGGUGAAAUGCGCAGAUAUCAGGAGGAACACCGGUGGCGAAGGCGGAUCUCUGGGCCGUAACUGACGCUGAGGAGCGAAAGCAUGGGGAGCGAACAGG